GCCUGGUGGUUCCUGAAGGCAGCUUUACCGUGCUGAUCUUUUGGGUUUUUUGACAAACAGGCUUAAAUGAAGCUCUGUCGCUUAAUGCAUGGUAGCUGCAUCACCAUGCCGUUAUCAUAGCCCGGGCACAGAGACAUAA
ensembl:snoRNA small nucleolar RNA SNORA84